CAUGAUUCUCCUGCUCCAGACAGACGCAGGUUAAGAUCCUCCCUGGUGCUGCGGUGGCUGACUUCAUGAGUACUGACACUUGCUUCCUCCACACUAGCCCUGGGGCGGGUGGAUCAGAGAGGAGCGCUUGUAUCAGAGUUAAGAGGGUGGGGAGAGUGCAGACAUGCUCCACUCAACAAGUCUCUUUGCCAAGGAUCUCCACCAUGGAGUGUGCAUGUCCCAGCAAGGCUGCAACCUAACGAGAAAGGGUCUUCGAGGUGUGGAU